UGAAUGCGUGGCAAGGAGAUGUAUCCAACAAGAGAUGUCGCGACAAGUCCCCGGGCUUCAUUUUCCUACGUGUCGAUCGCGAUUUAUCCCUCCGCAGCGCUUUGAAUUGGCGCAUUCUUAUCUGUCGCUCGAAGGAGAUGGCCAUGUUUACUCAGGUUUUAGUUAUUUUCUUGGCUAGUCUACUGCACAAUGCAUUUGCAAAUGUCUGCCCAUCAAUUAUUGGAGAGAAAGAUAAGUUUUAUGAAGCUGAACAAACGUUAAUGUUUCGGUGCGACAA